AAAGGGAAACAGCCCAGACCACCAGUUAAGGUCCCCAAAUAUAUGUUAAGUGGAAAAGGAUGUGGGGUUGCUUAGACAACCAGGAUGUUGGCUUAGAAGCAGCCACCAUUGAAAGAGUGCGUAAUAGCUCACUGGUCGAGUGACCCCGCGCCGAAAAUGUACCGGGGCUAAACAUAUUACCGAAACUGUGGAUGAACCUCUUUAGAGGUUCGUGGUAGGAGAGCGUUCUAAGGGCGGUGAAGUCAGACCGGAAGGACUGGUGGAGCGCUUAGAAGUGAGAAUGCCGGUAUGAGUAGCGAAAGAAGGGUGAGAAUCCCUUCCACCGAAUAUCUAAGGUUUCCUGAGGAAGGCUCGUCCGCUCAGGGUUAGUCGGGACCUAAGCCGAGGCCGAUAGGCGUAGGCGAUGGACAACAGGUAGAGAUUCCUGUACCAGUGCUAAUUGUUUAACCGAUGGGGUGACACAGAAGGAUAGGGAAUCGCACGAAUGGAAAUGUGCGUCCAAGCAGUGAGUGUGAGAAGUAGGCAAAUCCGCUUCUCGCGAAGCAUGAGCUGUGAUGGGGAAGGAAAUUAAGUACGGAAGUUCCUGAUUUCACGCUGUCAAGAAAAGCCUCUAGGAAGAGUAGUACUGCCCGUACCGCAAACCGACACAGGUAGAUGAGGAGAGAAUCCUAAGGUGAGCGAGAGAACUCUCGUUAAGGAACUCGGCAAAAUGACCCCGUAACUUCGGGAGAAGGGGUGCUCUAUUAGGGUGCAAGCCCGAGAGAGCCGCAGUGAAUAGGCCCAGGCGACUGUUUAGCAAAAACACAGGUCUCUGCAAAACCGUAAGGUGACGUAUAGGGGCUGACGCCUGCCCGGUGCUGGAAGGUUAAGAGGAGUGCUUAGCUUCGGCGAAGGUACGAAUUGAAGCCCCAGUAAACGGCGGCCGUAACUAUAACGGUCCUAAGGUAGCGAAAUUCCUUGUCGGGUAAGUUCCGACCCGCACGAAAGGCGCAACGAUCUGGGCACUGUCUCAACGAGAGACUCGGUGAAAUUAUAGUACCUGUGAAGAUGCAGGUUACCCGCGACAGGACGGAAAGACCCCGUGGAGCUUUACUGCAACCUGAUAUGGAAUGUUUGUACCGCUUGUACAGGAUAGGUAGGAGCCGAAGAGACGUGUGCGCUAGCAUACGAGGAG
rnacentral:rRNA from 1 species